rnacentral:rRNA from 1 species
CCUACGGGUGGCAGCAGUAGGGAAUUUUGCGCAAUGGGCGAAAGCCUGACGCAGCAACGCCGCGUGAUCGAGACGCCCUUCGGGGUGUAAAGAUCUGUCAGUGGGGACGAAACUUGACGGUACCCACAGAGGAAGCACCGGCUAACUCCGUGCCAGCAGCCGCGGUAAUACGGGGGGUGCAAGGGUUGUCCGGAAUCAUUGGGCGUAAAGAGUUCGAAGGCGGCACGGAAAGUCUGGGGUGAAAGGCAGGGGCUCAACGUCUGUACGGCACUUGAAACUGUCGAGCUGGAAUGGGGGAGAGGAUAAGGGAAGUCCUGGUGUAGCAGUGAAAUGCUUAGAUAUCAGGAGGAACAUCAGUGGCGUAGGCGCUUUACUGGGCCGUAAUUGACGCUGAGGAACGAAAGCCAGGGUAGCAAAUGGGAUUAGAUACCCGAGUAGUC